rnacentral:tRNA from 1 species
GGUAUAGCUCAGUGGUAGAGUGCGUGCUUAGUAUACACAAGGUCCUGGGUUCAAUUCCCAGCACC